GAAUAUUGGACAAUGGGCGAAAGCCUGAUCCAGCAAUGCCGCGUGAGUGAUGAAGGCCUUAGGGUUGUAAAGCUCUUUUACCAGGGAUGAUAAUGACAGUACCUGGAGAAUAAGCUCCGGCUAACUCCGUGCCAGCAGCCGCGGUAAUACGGAGGGAGCUAGCGUUGUUCGGAAAUACUGGGCGUAAAGCGCACGUAGGCGGCUUUUCAAGUCAGGGGUGAAAUCCCGGGGCUCAACCCCGGAACUGCCCUUGAAACCGGAUCGCUAGAAUAUUGGAGAGGCAAGUGGAAUUCCGAGUGUAGAGGUGAAAUUCGUAGAUAUUCGGAAGAACACCAGUGGCGAAGGCGGCUCACUGGCUCGAUACUGACGCUGAGGUGCGAAAGCGUGGGGAGCAAACAGG
rnacentral:rRNA from 1 species